rnacentral:lncRNA from 1 species
AGGUCUGAUGCAAAAGAUGGAUAAAAUCUCCUCGGGUGCCUUUGCGGGCUCCUAAUUGCACCGUUCGCCUCCUGGUGAGUAAGGCAAAUGGGAGCAAGGGAGCCCGCAGAAUGAAGAGCACCUUCUGCAGACCUACAGGCUGGAGGACAACGACGUGAAGACCCUGCAGAGCCUCUGGUUUCAUGCCUGGUGAUUUUUACCGUGCCGAAAAGGGAGGAAGGAGGUGACAGAACUGUGAAAAAUCGAGGCCGGGUCAUUCCUGCCAGAUGAGGACAGAGUCCUGCAGCCAGUCAGAUGUGACGGACCGCGCCUGCUGCUGCUGCUACCGGGAAGCUGGAGAGAAAUGCGACUGAACGGUAGCAGUGCGCAUGUGCCUCUGGAGAAAGGAGGCUAUCUGGCUGUCUUCGCACUGAGCUGUCACUGCAGCAGCAGCUAUGUGAGAUGGAGGACAGGUCCUCGGAUUUGCUUCGAGUCUGUGAAAUUGGAGCAAGCAAUCCAUAUUUUAUGCCAGAGGAUGUGUUUAUGCUCUACUCUAACAGCUCUUGAAAGCAGGUAUUUGCUACGGAGAUGCUGGAGCCAUCUGAACCAUCACAGCAGCAACGUUUCAGAUAAUGGGUAUUGGGUAAGUUUGUUCUUGGUGUCUGAAGUGAGCCAAAGUAGCAAAAAAAAAAAAAGCCCCUCCUGUAUUUUUUUCCUGAUUUUUUUUUUUUUGUCGUUGUAUUACAGCAGUACUGUUUUGCCUGUACAGUGUGUUUACUGCGGGCCUGGUGAGGGAUACUUACAGAGCCCCUCUCGUCCGCUAGCUAGCCAGAAACAACAGAAAAGCCUGCUACAGGAUUGCUGUGGCUGUAAUUUGCAGUGUGCUACACGGUGCCCUGCAUUCACCACCCAUCUAGGUAUUAAACAAGUCCCCAUGCCUCCAGGGGUAAAAUGUUUUCCAGUGACACGUGAGUGCUUUGCUUGGCAGCCUGGUCUGGCACGUCACAGUUCUGAUGGGCUUCUCCCAGGCUUUGCAGCAUGGAGCUAA